AAAAAUAUUAAAAAUCAGAAAUAGAAACUAGAAAUUAUUUGGGAAAUAAUGCAAUUGGUCCCAUAUUUUUUGGAAUUAAAAUGAGAGAGAUAUGAUUUUUUGAAAUAAAAGGAAAUAAACAAAAUAAAAACAGAAAUUAAAAAAAUGCAAAAAACGAGAGCCCUUGGAUCUGAGCUCAUUAAUUGAGCUGGCAGAUCCAAGGAUCCAGAGGCGCGCGCUCAUGAAACACCAUAGUCAAUGCGUGCACACGUGAAGAAAUUAAAGGUCAUAACAAGCAACGCUCCUGAUUGCAUCUGGAAAUCAGAUCAAGCGGUCUA
rnacentral:lncRNA from 1 species